AUGUUAGGACAACCAGUUAACUUUCUUAGUUGGAAUGUAAGGGGAUUAAACUACCCAAACCGUCGGGCCACUGUUCACGAGACUAUCGCUGCAACUUCAUGUCAUUUGGAUUGCUUACAGGAGACCAAACUUGAGGUUUUGGACCAGUUUACAGCUUCCUUCCUCGGAGGGGCCAGGCUCAAAAGCUUUGCCCACCGGCCGGCGCUGGGAACUAGGGGCGACAUCCUGCUUCUUUGGGAUGAAGGCGUUGUGGUUGUGUCUGACGUUGUGCUCUCGGUGUACUGUCUAUCGGCCACAAUCCUCAUCCGCGAGUCUUGGGUCUCCUUCAAGAUCACGGCGUUUUGUGGCCCUACUACUUCUUCUUGCAAAAACGCCUUCUUCGCGGAGCUCCCGGCUCAAAAGCCACCUCCAGGGACCAAAUGGCUUGCACUGGGUGACUUCAACCAGAUACACCGCGCGCGCGACAAGAAUAAGUGGAACAUCAACCGUGGCCGUAUCAACUGGUUCCGUAACACCCUCCACGCAUGCGAACUCAACGAGAUACACCUGCAAAAUCGUCGUUUCACUUGA
rnacentral:rRNA from 1 species